CAGUCGAGCGAGCAGUUAAGUUGAUUUCUUCGGAUUGAUUCUUAAUUGACUGAGCGGCGGACGGGUGAGUAACGCGUGGGUGACCUGCCCCAUACCGGGGGAUAACAGCUGGAAACGGCUGCUAAUACCGCAUAAGCGCACAGAGCUGCAUGGCUCGGUGUGAAAAACUCCGGUGGUAUGGGAUGGGCCCGCGUCUGAUUAGGCAGUUGGCGGGGUAACGGCCCACCAAACCGACGAUCAGUAGCCGGCCUGAGAGGGCGACCGGCCACAUUGGGACUGAGACACGGCCCAAACUCCUACGGGAGGCAGCAGUGGGGAAUAUUGCACAAUGGGGGAAACCCUGAUGCAGCGACGCCGCGUGAGCGAAGAAGUAUUUCGGUAUGUAAAGCUCUAUCAGCAGGGAAGAUAAUGACGGUACCUGACUAAGAAGCCCCGGCUAACUACGUGCCAGCAGCCGCGGUAAUACGUAGGGGGCAAGCGUUAUCCGGAUUUACUGGGUGUAAAGGGAGCGUAGACGGCAAGGCAAGUCUGAUGUGAAAACCCAGGGCUUAACCCUGGGACUGCAUUGGAAACUGUCUGGCUCGAGUGCCGGAGAGGUAAGCGGAAUUCCUAGUGUAGCGGUGAAAUGCGUAGAUAUUAGGAAGAACACCAGUGGCGAAGGCGGCUUACUGGACGGUAACUGACGUUGAGGCUCGAAAGCGUGGGGAGCAAACAGGAUUAGAUACCCUGGUAGUCCACGCCGUANACGAUGAAUGCUANGUGUUGGGG
rnacentral:rRNA from 1 species